AUAGAAAUAAAAAAAAAUAUAAAAAUAAUUUAAAUAAAAUAUUAAAUUUAAAUUCUUUUUGUAUUAAGAUUAUAUAAAAUAAAUUUAAAUAUUUUAUUUUUUCUAAAUAAUAAGAAAUAUAAAUUUAAAUAAUUUAUUGUAUCAUAAUUAUUUAAAAUAAAUUUAUAGAUUAGAAAUUAAAUUCAAUUAUUAUUUUAUAAUUUUAUAUUAAUUUAAUAAAAUUAAUAAUUUAUUUUAUUUAAUAAAUUAAAUAUUUAUAAAGAUAAGUUUAUAAAUUAAUUAAAUUAUUUUAUUAAUAAUUUAUAUAUUUUAUAUGAAUAAAAAUUUUAAAUUAAAAUUUUUUAAUUAUUUAAUAUAUUUUUUUAAAUUUUAAAUUAAUUAAUUAAUUUAAUAUAAUAAUAAUUUAAAUUAAAAUAAUUUUUUAAUAAUAUAUAAAUUAGUAAUUAAAUAAAUUAUUUUAAUGAAUUCGACAAGUAAAUUUUUAUUUGUUUAAUAAAAACAUAAUUUAAAGAAAUUAAUUUUAAAUAUAUUCUGCUCAAUGAAUUUAUUUUAAAUAGCUGCAGUAUACUAACUGUACAAAGGUAGCAUAAUAAUUUGUAUUUUAAUUGAAUAAUGGAAUGAAUGAAUAAAUAAAAAAUUUUUUUUAUUUUUAUAAUUAAAUGAAUUUAAUUUUUAAGUUAAAAAGCUUAAAUAAUUUUAAAAGACAAAAAGACCCUAAAAAUUUUAUAUAAUUAAAUUAUAUAUUUAUUUGGGGUAAAUUUAAUAGAUUAAUUUAUUAGAUAAAUUAAAAUAAAAUAAUUUUUUUUAAAAAAUUACUUUAGGGAUAACAGGAUAAAUUAAAUUUAAUAGAUUAUAUUAAAAAUUUAGAUUAUUACCUCGAUGUUGAAUUAAUUAUAACUUAUUAAAAUAGAAAUUAAUAAAGUAAGUUUGUUCAACUUUUAAAUAAUUACAUGAUUUGAGUUAAGAUCGAUGUAAAUUAGAUUGGUUUUUAUCUUUAAAAAAUAUUAUUAAUUUAGUACGAAAGGAUUUAUUAAUAUUUUUAAUAUU
rnacentral:rRNA from 1 species